AUUGAACGCUGGCGGCAGGCCUAACACAUGCAAGUCGAGCGGAUGAAGGGAGCUUGCUCCUGGAUUCAGCGGCGGACGGGUGAGUAAUGCCUAGGAAUCUGCCUGGUAGUGGGGGAUAACGUCCGGAAACGGGCGCUAAUACCGCAUACGUCCUGAGGGAGAAAGUGGGGGAUCUUCGGACCUCACGCUAUCAGAUGAGCCUAGGUCGGAUUAGCUAGUUGGUGGGGUAAAGGCCUACCAAGGCGACGAUCCGUAACUGGUCUGAGAGGAGGAUCAGUCACACUGGAACUGAGACACGGCCCAGACUCCUACGGGAGGCAGCAGUGGGGAAUAUUGGACAAUGGGCGAAAGCCUGAUCCAGCCAUGCCGCGUGUGUGAAGAAGGUCUUCGGAUUGUAAAGCACUUUUGGUUGGGAGGAAGGGCAGUAAGUUAAUACCUUGCUGUUUUGACGUUACCAACAGAAUAAGCACCGGCUAACUUCGUG
rnacentral:rRNA from 1 species